AGUGAACGCUGGCGGUAGGCCUAACACAUGCAAGUCGAACGGCAGCACAGUAAGAGCUUGCUCUUACGGGUGGCGAGUGGCGGACGGGUGAGGAAUACAUCGGAAUCUACUUUUUCGUGGGGGAUAACGUAGGGAAACUUACGCUAAUACCGCAUACGACCUACGGGUGAAAGCAGGGGAUCUUCGGACCUUGCGCGAUUGAAUGAGCCGAUGUCGGAUUAGCUAGUUGGCGGGGUAAAGGCCCACCAAGGCGACGAUCCGUAGCUGGUCUGAGAGGAUGAUCAGCCACACUGGAACUGAGACACGGUCCAGACUCCUACGGGAGGCAGCAGUGGGGAAUAUUGGACAAUGGGCGCAAGCCUGAUCCAGCCAUACCGCGUGAGUGAAGAAGGCCUUCGAGUUGUAAAGCCCUUUUGUUGGGAAAGAAAAGCAGCAGGUUAAUACCCCGCUGUUCCGACGGUACCCAAAGAAUAAGCACCGGCUAACUUCGUG
rnacentral:rRNA from 1 species